rnacentral:rRNA from 1 species
UACGAAGGGGGCUAGCGUUGCUCGGAAUCACUGGGCGUAAAGGGCGCGUAGGCGGAUCUUUAAGUCAGGGGUGAAAUCCCGGGGCUCAACCUCGGAACUGCCUUUGAUACUGGGGAUCUCGAGUCCGGGGAGAGGUGAGUGGAAUUGCGAGUGUAGAGGGUGAAAUUCGUAGAUAUUCGCAAGAACACCAGUGGCGAAGGCGGCUCACUGGCCCAUUCUGACGCUGAGGCACGAAAGCGUGGGGAGCAACAGG